GAGUCUGGGUGGAAAUGAUGCCUUCGCAGAGCUGAGAGCACAAAAUGAAGUUGGUGAUUCAUGGGCAGCAGCCACUUGAAAAUAUGAACACUCCUGCGUCCCCAGCCCCGCCGGCCUUUCACACCCAUUUGGAGGCGUGUUGAGCAGAGCUGCUAGCCUGCUGCAUCCUAGUCUGCAUGUGUUUGGGCAGGAUGUGAGGACAGGCCGGUUCUACCCUGACAAGGAGCCUGCAAAGGGCAGCAGCACGCCUGGGAGCACUCCAAGAACGUCUGCCCACCCCCCGAGAGGCCUCGGCUGGAACCCAGGGCAGGGCUGAGUAAGAGGUGAAGUGGCACAGUAACGCAUUCCAGGAGGACAUCGCUGAGGGCCCCAAUUGUGAGGACAUUGCCCAUCAAUCUUGGAGCCUCCACACCAAGCUGGGAUUCUCUCUCUUCUGGACUUCAUAGCCUUCUGAGACCGCACUGGGGAGAACAGUAAGAGAGCUUUGUAAGGCCACUCUGGCUCCUCACCCACCUUUUCUGGGCUCACUCUUCUGAAGCCAUAGCUGACCUAAGCGACCCACCUGGGCUUUUAAGGUGGGCUACAUUCCCCCAGGCCCAGGAACUACAAAUGGGAGGCCAGGAGUGCUAUAUGCCGCAGCCAGAGGCGUCUGUGCUCCAAAAAGUCUUCUGAGUGGGCUUCUCAGCAGUGGAUGGGAACGUAGGGCAGUCUUCUCCUCCCCACACCACUCAAAACUGCAAUUUUACAAACCAAGAAUUAAAGCCUGGAAUACUCAGUGUCCUGUGGUCUCCCAAAGUGGGAGGAUCCUAAAGCAGGACGGGCUUCCCUUAGAAGCCAGGCAUAUUGGCAGGAGGUACCCAGGUAAACAAGCAACCUUGGGGCAAUGUUAAUCUGCUUUUUCUCUUCUUCGGUGUCUGGCUGAGUCUAAAUUGAAUUAUUAAUCUA
rnacentral:lncRNA from 1 species